rnacentral:rRNA from 1 species
AUACCCUAUUAUACUUAAAUAUCUCUGGUAGUAUUAGCUUUUUAAGAAACCUUUGCAGUUUGGCGGCAUUUAAUCACUUUAGAGGAACCUGUCUUUUAAUCGACACCCCACGUUAUUUCUCUCUUUUAUUUAUAUCUUAUAUACCUCCGUCUUAAGGAUUAAUAUUUAUAUUUUCCCCUAAAUAGAUUUCUAACAAGUUAGGUAAAGGUGUAGACUAUACAAAAGAUGAGAUGGGUUACUAUAAAUCUUAUUUAAGGAAUCUUAAAUUAAAAUUUUGACGAAAAAGGAUUUAUUAGUAAUAAAAGAAUAAUAAUCUUCCAUGAAAUUGAUAAACAAUGUGCACACAUCGC